AGAAUUUGAUCAUGGCUCAGGAUGAACGCUAGCUACAGGCUUAACACAUGCAAGUCGAGGGGCAGCAUGGUCUUAGCUUGCUAAGGCCGAUGGCGACCGGCGCACGGGUGAGUAACACGUAUCCAACCUGCCGUCUACUCUUGGACAGCCCUCUGAAAGGAAGAUUAAUACAAGAUGGCAUCAUGAGUCCGCAUGUUCACAUGAUUAAAGGUAUUCCGGUAGACGAUGGGGAUGCGUUCCAUUAGAUAGUAGGCGGGGUAACGCCCACCUAGUCUUCGAUGGAUAGGGGUUCUGAGAGGAAGGUCCCCCANAUUGGAACUGAGACACGGUCCAAACUCCUACGGGAGCA
rnacentral:rRNA from 1 species